rnacentral:rRNA from 1 species
GCGAUUGCCUUAAUUUGCGCUGCUUUUCCUGUGCGCUUUUGCUUGCUCUUCGUCUGCGCUUUUUCUUCUUCUUUUUUUUUCCUCGCAGAGGAGAGGGGAGGGACGGCGUGGGCCGUGCGUGGGGUAAGGUGCCGCUAGCCAGCGCUGCUGGGCGCGGCCGGUGGCGCGCGCCUCGGGCUCGGGGGCUACUACCCGCUGCUGUUCCGGGGCGCCUCGGAGUCGGGCUACCCGCCGGCGCUGGCGCUGGCGCUCGAGGAGUAGGGGCAGAGGCCGCCGCCGCCGCCGCCGAGCCAGGGGGCGUGGCCCCUUCUGCUGCUGCUGGACCUGUCCUGGCGGCGGAGGGGGAGGCGGAGGCGGCGCGAGAGGAGGUGGCCGGCGCUCCGAAAGGUAUUCCACCAAGCGUCGACCCGGAGUUUCUUUAAGUACUGACCUACACACUAAGAGAAGGGGUAUCGUUAUUGUAAGAUGAAGUGGACCACCAAGUAAGUAAAACAACUACCUAAGAAGAGAGGUUAGAUACGUGUUAACCCUUAGUUGUAAAAACCAGAACCGAAGUAGUGAAGACAAUGAAAGUAUAAAAAGCAACCUCAGAAGUACAGUAGAACCCAACCUCGUAGACAAGAACCGUAACCACUUACCUAGUAGUUCGCGUACGGUGAACACGCGGUAUAGAUGUUACGUAGGUUCGUUUAAUCACGACGAUAUAGCGGUCUAGUUUUGUUUGUCCGUAAGUUCCUCCGUCAGUAGUAUGCUGUAGGAGCAUAACCCCUUAUACGUAAACCUAAGUAAUGGAGUAGUCAGAGCGAGGUCUCGAUAAGACCAGUUCUCCUGGAGAUGACACAGAUACACGGCUGGUUGGUAGAGAUGUAACCACUAUAGAAGUACCACUUGAGUUUCCUACACUAUUCCGGAUUAGAAAGACACGCACUUCCGUAACUCUAGCAACACAGACCACCAUACAGUUACGGGGUCCAAAACAGUUGGGACCUAGGUGUAGGUGUAGACGUACGUUAGGUGUGUCUGGCUCCACCUCGCUCGUCUUCGACUCCGUUUGAUGGACGUAUGGACAAGCAGCUAUAGUUCACUUGAGAGUUGUGUCUAGUGUGGUCACGCCGCUUGUUCUAGGACUCGCGCUACGUGAUCGUUAGACAGUGCGGGCUCCUAGUUUCCUAGAACAUUAAUUCAUCUUCAUCCAUUGAGUGUGCGCAACAGCUAGGCUACCUAAACAUGUUAACCGAACCUGAAACAGAAACAUUACGACGGGGGUCUACGAAGGAUCGGUAUGAAUAUAAAAGAAUGCCAAGUUAACAAAAGAAGGCCGACAAAGUCUCAGGUUUAAUCGAAAGCCGUAGUUGUUACAGACUGACUCCACGGAACGACAUUUUCUUUUGUUACGGACGGACUCAACAGAACGGAACUUAAGAACCUGAUUAAUUGGAGGAUCCAGUCCACUAUCAUCUGUGACCUGGUUGUUACCACCUUGACCUUGGAACUGAAACUUUCUGGACGACCUUGUUACCACUAUACUAUUUAAAACGUGUUAGACGACCUUGUUUAUCGACUACACUAGUUGAGACGUGUUAUGCGACCACCGCUGGUUGGGUUCGUAAGAGUAAAGAGGUACCUAUUUAAACUGAUGUAAAGAUACCAAAAGCACUUCGUAAGAGUAAAGAGGUACCUAUUUAAACUGAUGUAAAGAAACCAAAAGCACGUACCAAGCUACUGACCAGACUGAUCAGAUCUGAUGUAACUGGACGAGGACGACGUGUGGUCGUACCAUCCUGCAUUUUAGACGUACACGUCCGCGAACAGAACCGUGGCGUAAGUAGUCAAGCAAGGUACCGAAAGUCUUGGUAUACCAACCGCCCACGUACUAGUACCGAAGUGCUGACAAGUCGUACAUCCUACACGAGCGGUGGUCUCUGAAGCGAGUUUGGUCGUCCUCGCCACU